GAAGGAAGGAAGGAAGGAAGGACAUACAGAGUAAAGAAACAAGGAGGGCCUGUGAAACAUACUCCUCAGAAACAAUCCCUCCCAAUGUUUCAGGAAUACUGUUUAUACAGUAUUUAUACAGUUUAAAAUAUUAUCAAACUAUAUAACUUAUAAUUAUGUAUUGCAGUAGGCAUAUAUGGUUUCUUGAGAAGCAACGUAAUCACACACACUGUGUUUUAUAUUCAACUUUCCCUACUUAACACAGCAUUAUAAGCCUUUCCCCUAUUAAUCUUCUGCAUCAUAACAGUUGUAUCAAAUGUAUGGAUUUAUGUAAGCAAUUCUCCAAUCCCGCCUUUCAGCUUAUGUAUGAAAAUUGUAAAUAAUUCCAUAGUAAACAUCUUACUAACUAAAUCUCUGAGUACUGAUGAUUAUUUCUUCAGAAGAAAUUUCUAGAGUUGAAAUGUCUAAGGCAAUGUCCCACAGCAAUCUGAAUCUUUAAGAGUAACACGUUGACAAAUGAUCUCCCAGAAAUCCUGUGCCCACAUAUACUCCCCGCCUCUAAGUAGUUCUUCUAGACAUCUUGCUUUCCUCAGGAGACAUUGUACCACAGGUGUCUCUUGGGUCAUUCCACUAAAGGGCAAUAUUCUGUCCAUGGUAACAAUGCUUUGGUGGCUACCAACCCUCUGAAGUCCCCUGGGCAGUGUCAUCUGCUGCCUGGGUUAGACCUGAAAGCUCUUGGCCUGACCAAGGAGUUUCAUUUGAUGGCGGGAUCUUCAGCUUUGGGGACCAUCAUUGAAGACUGAACUUAAAUGGUUAACUCAGCCUUGAUCUUUGCUGCCUACAGCCCAAAGGGGAAGAUGGUGUCAGAUUUCUUCCCAUCAGGUGUUGACUUGGCAAGAAACUCAGCUCAUUCACAAACCACCCUCUAAAAGGGAGGCAUUUUUCUAAGCAGCAAAUGAGUACAAAACACAUCUGCAUUGACAAGUCGAAACUUAUAUCCUUCUAUGGUGUUUUUGCUAUUUUGAAAAUGUUAAUAAAAACUUAAUGUGGAAAAAAAAAACAACUUUUUUUUCCAAAUAUGUGUACCAAUGGGCCUGAGGCAACUCAUACUUUCUUAUAAAAUAAAGUAGGUCACUCACAUCAAUCAUGUCGUCUUAGCACAUUUUUUCCAAAUUAGGAAUUCUCCAUCCAUCAUACCACAUUAUGGCAUCCGUUCUCCAAACAUUUCCUUUUAAUAUGCUCUUUAACAUGAUAAGCAAAUCUAAUAGAAUACAUUAGUGUCACUUCCCAGUGAUGGAGCACUUCCUUCUGCUGCAGUCCUCCAGGAGCUCAGAGAAACAUUUUCACUAGCUAUCUCCCUGACAGCAUUCACUUAUUCAAAUGACAUCAGGGCUCCCAGUGCUGUCAAGGCCACACUUGGAUGUUAGUCUUAGAUUGCGAACAGAGUAGCAAGGGAGAGGGUGUCCCUACCUCACCCCUCGAUGUGCUGUAUAUGUAGACACCAAAAAGAAAUGUGUACCCUAACAGAGCUGUAAAUAUAGAUGCUGCACACAAGGCCAGGGUUGUCAUGUACCCUCGGCUCAGUAAAGUUGCACACAAACACACCACCACCACCCUGUGGAGAUCAACAGCUUCUGUGGUGCUGCGUUUUAAAACCACGCUGCUCAGAGAACACUUCCAAAUCUAGAUGAUGCAGAAGGGCAGGUCCUUGGCUUCCCAUGUGUGCAGUUCUCCCAACACUGCUUUCCAGCCUUUGUGUAAAGCCAUGUUCCAUUUGGAACCCAUUUGAGAUACAUAUAUUUGCAUGUUCAUCCAUGGUCAUGUGACUCUUACCUGACAAAACCCAGGGAUGGGUUUUUACUUGGCUCGCUGGUUCUCCUACUCAGGUGCUUGAGACUCGGGGAAAGGGGCUGUUGUUGUUUUGUGGUUUAAAUUUUGUUUUGUUAAAUUUUUUUGGUGCCAACACUGGGGCUUGAACUCAGGGCCUGGCACAAAUUACUUGGCUUUUCUAACUGCAGCCCGGCACUCUAUCAUUUGAGCCAUUCCUCUACUUCUGGAUUUGGGGUGGCUAAUAGGAGAUAAGAGUCUUGUGGACUUUUUGUCCCUGAUUUGCUUUGAACUGUGAUCUACAGUUCUCAGCCUUCUGAGUAGCUAGGGUUACAAGUGUGAGCCACCAAUGCCUCAAAGUUUCAGACUUUUGCACACCUAGUAGGAAAAAAAAAAUGGGAAAGGAGCAGAGAAAGUGGGGGCUGUGUGGUGGGCCUGGGGUCUUUUAUCUAGAACCACGGGGCCAUGUGGACGGUGGUUUGGAAUCCCCACCUGGGAACUACCCCAUGGCUUCUGUUUGGCGGGUGGGAAUGUAAAGCUUGGGGCGAUCAGCCACAGUAGCUGACAGCACACCACUUUUGCUUAGAGCUCAUCACUUCUUAGGCUUUGUGUCCCCAGCAACAUCAUCAACUCAUUCAUCAACAAAAAUGACAGUACUUAGGGUAGCAGGAGACACAGAAAGGAGGCACAUUCCUGCCUUUAGGGCAGCUUAAAGUCAGGCUUGAGUCAAACAGGAGAGAUGGGGAAGGG